ACUCCUUGCCCUUGGCAAUGAGACACCUUGUUGGUGGUGGUAUUCUUAUAUCAGUCAGAGACUGAGUAGAUGGUAGUCCUUUGUUCAUUCUGCCUUGAUGCUUGGUCAAGCUUGGUCACCAAACCUGUUUUAUGCCUAGGACACAUAA